AAUAACAUCUGUUAGCACAUGAAUUUAGAUGGCAUUUUAUACAUGACAUGAAAAAAUAUGGCAUACUGUAUCUAAAAAGUUCAAUGAUAUCAUACCUGAGAGAUAAGUGUCAAUGUUUACUCUUUGGGAGAGUUCCUCCAUGCUUGAAAAGUUGAAACCAUGCUUUGGAAUGUCUUCAUUAUCUUUAAUCUCCUCUAUAUUUGUUGUGGGUGAGAAGUUAAUCAUCAUCUCAUUUUGUACAGGUCGAAAUUUUGCUGCUGCUGGAAUGACUCUCACGUUUUUAAUGAGAUCAGAAAGGACGGCGGCCUGUUCGUGUUCGUGACGGAAGCGAGGGAAGGUGCUCUCCGUUGUUGGCGAUGAGAGAUGUUGUAGAAGCUGUUCUCCGCAGCGUGAAGCCGGAGACGCGUGCGAGAAGAAUUACGAUCUAUGGGAUGGCCUCACGUCAAGCAUAUAACCUGGAGAACGAAAAACACCUGAUGUGUACGUGAUGUAUAUAUUCACAAAUAUAUAUAUAUACACAGCCAUGCAUGUGUUUGUGUUGCCAAAGACACCACGUUUGGGUGUCCUUUUCUUUUUGGACAAUUAAAGUACGAUAUGCGACCAUUGUUGGGAAUAAAAAUAGAAGGCCAACAUUUUUUUCUA